CACGAACCGUACGAACGUUAUUCGGAAUUACUGGGCUUAAAGGGUUUGUAGGCGGACCAUGUAAGUCGGGUGUGAAAUCCCUCGGCUCAACCGAGGAAUGGCGCCCGAUACUGCAUGGCUUGAGGGAGACAGGGGUAAGCGGAACUGAUGGUGGAGCGGUGAAAUGCGUUGAUAUUCAUCAGGAACACCGGUGGCGAAAGCGGCUUACUGGGUCUCAUCUGACGCCUGAGGAACGAAAGCUAGGGGAGCGAACGGG
rnacentral:rRNA from 1 species